GAUGAACGCUGGCGGCGUGCCUAAUACAUGCAAGUCGAGCGAACGGACGAGAAGCUUGCUUCUCUGAUGUUAGCGGCGGACGGGUGAGUAACACGUGGAUAACCUACCUAUAAGACUGGGAUAACUUCGGGAAACCGGAGCUAAUACCGGAUAAUAUUUUGAACCGCAUGGUUCAAAAGUGAAAGACGGUCUUGCUGUCACUUAUAGAUGGAUCCGCGCUGCAUUAGCUAGUUGGUAAGGUAACGGCUUACCAAGGCAACGAUGCAUAGCCUACCUGAGAGGGUGAUCGGCCACACUGGAACGGAGACACGGGCCAGACCCCUACGGGGGGCGGCAGUAGGGAAUCUUCCGAAAUGGGGGAAAGCCUGACGGAGCAACGCCGCGGGAGUGAUAAGGUCUUCGGAUCGUAAAACUCUUUUAUUAGGGAAAAACAUAUGUGUAAGUAACUGUGCACAUCUUGGCGGUACCUAAUAAGAAAGCCCCGGCUAACUCCGU
rnacentral:rRNA from 1 species